GACGUAGGGCGCGAGCGUUGUCCGGAUUUAUUGGGCGUAAAGGGCUCGUAGGCGGCUCGUCGCGUCUGCCGUGCAAGGUCCCGGCUUAACCGGGGAUUUGCGGUGGAUACGGGCGGGCUUGAGGCAAUUAGGGGAGACUGGAAUUCUACGUGUAGCGGUGAAAUGCGCAGAUAUGUGGAGGAACACCGGUGGCGAAGGCGGGUCUCUGGGAUUGUACUGACGCUGAGGAGCGAAAGCGUGGGGAGCGAACAGG
rnacentral:misc_RNA from 1 species